AGUGAACGCUGGCGGUAGGCCUAACACAUGCAAGUCGAACGGCAGCACAGUAAGAGCUUGCUCUUACGGGUGGCGAGUGGCGGACGGGUGAGGAAUACAUCGGAAUCUACUUUUUCGUGGGGGAUAACGUAGGGAAACUUACGCUAAUACCGCAUACGACCUACGGGUGAAAGCAGGGGAUCUUCGGACCUUGCGCGAUUGAAUGAGCCGAUGUCGGAUUAGCUAGUUGGCGGGGUAAAGGCCCACCAAGGCGACGAUCCGUAGCUGGUCUGAGAGGAUGAUUAGCCACACUGGAACUGAGACACGGUCCAGACUCCUACGGGAGGCAGCAGUGGGGAAUAUUGGACAAUGGGCGCAAGCCUGAUCCAGCCAUACCGCGUGGGUGAAGAAGGCCUUCGGGUUGUAAAGCCCUUUUGUUGGGAAAGAAAAGCAGCAGGUUAAUACCCCGAUGUUCUGACGGUACCCAAAGAAUAAGCACCGGCUAACUUCGUG
rnacentral:rRNA from 1 species